rnacentral:rRNA from 1 species
CGAAAGCCUGACGGAGCAAGACCGCGUGAGGGAUGACGGCCUAAUGGUUGUAAACCUCUUUUCUCUGGGAAGAUAAUGACGGUACCAGAGGAAUAAGCCUCGGCUAACUCCGUGCCAGCAGCCGCGGUAAUACGGAGGAGGCAAGCGUUAUCCGGAAUUAUUGGGCGUAAAGCGUCCGUAGGUGGUUAAUCUAGUCAGCUGUUAAAGAGCGGAGCUUAACUCCGUUAGAGCGGUUGAAACUGAUUGACUAGAGUUUGGUAGGGGUCGAGGGAAUUCCCAGUGUAGCGGUGAAAUGCGUAGAUAUUGGGAAGAACACCGGUGGCGAAAGCGCUCGACUGGGCCUGAACUGACACUGAGGGACGAAAGCUAGGGGAGCG